rnacentral:rRNA from 1 species
UGCGGCGUGCUUAACACAUGCAAGUCGAACAGAAAGGCCCUGCUUUUGUGGGGUGCUCGAGUGGCGAACGGGUGAGUAACACGUGAGUAACCUGCCCUUGACUUUGGGAUAACUUCAGGAAACUGGGGCUAAUACCGGAUAGGAGCUCCUGCUGCAUGGUGGGGGUUGGAAAGUUUCGGCGGUUGGGGAUGGACUCGCGGCUUAUCAGCUUGUUGGUGGGGUAGUGGCUUACCAAGGCUUUGACGGGUAGCCGGCCUGAGAGGGUGACCGGCCACAUUGGGACUGAGAUACGGCCCAGACUCCUACGGGAGGCAGCAGUGGGGAAUAUUGCACAAUGGGCGGAAGCCUGAUGCAGCAACGCCGCGUGCGGGAUGACGGCCUUCGGGUUGUAAACCGCUUUCGCCUGUGACGAAGCGUGAGUGACGGUAAUGGGUAAAGAAGCACCGGCUAACUACGUGCCAGCAGCCGCGGUGAUACGUAGGGUGCGAGCGUUGUCCGGAUUUAUUGGGCGUAAAGGGCUCGUAGGUGGUUGAUCGCGUCGGAAGUGUAAUCUUGGGGCUUAACCCUGAGCGUGCUUUCGAUACGGGUUGACUUGAGGAAGGUAGGGGAGAAUGGAAUUCCUGGUGGAGCGGUGGAAUGCGCAGAUAUCAGGAGGAACACCAGUGGCGAAGGCGGUUCUCUGGGCCUUUCCUGACGCUGAGGAGCGAAAGCGUGGGGAGCGAACAGGCUUAGAUACCCUGGUAGUCCACGCUGUAAACGGUGGGUACUAGGUGUGGGGUCCAUUCCACGGGUUCCGUGCCGUAGCUAACGCUUUAAGUACCCCGCCUGGGGAGUACGGCCGCAAGGCUAAAACUCAAAGGAAUUGACGGGGCCCCGCACAAGCGGCGGAGCAUGCGGAUUAAUUCGAUGCAACGCGUAGAACCUUACCUGGGUUUGACAUGGAUCGGGAGUGCUCAGAGAUGGGUGUGCCUCUUUUGGGGUCGGUUCACAGGUGGUGCAUGGCUGUCGUCAGCUCGUGUCGUGAGAUGUUGGGUUAAGUCCCGCAACGAGCGCAACCCUUGUUCACUGUUGCCAGCACGUUAUGGUGGGGACUCAGUGGAGACCGCCGGGGUCAACUCGGAGGAAGGUGGGGAUGACGUCAAGUCAUCAUGCCCCUUAUGUCCAGGGCUUCACGCAUGCUACAAUGGCUGGUACAGAGAGUGGCGAGCCUGUGAGGGUGAGCGAAUCUCGGAAAGCCGGUCUCAGUUCGGAUUGGGGUCUGCAACUCGACCUCAUGAAGUCGGAGUCGCUAGUAAUCGCGGAUCAGCAACGCUGCGGUGAAUACGUUCCCGGGGCUUGUACACACCGCCCGUCAAGUCAUGAAAGUUGGUAACACCCGAAGCCGGUGGCCUAACCGUUGUGGGGGAGCCGUCGAAGGUGGGACUGGUGAUUAGG